rnacentral:rRNA from 1 species
AUUGAACGCUGGCGGCAGGCCUAACACAUGCAAGUCGAGCGGAUGAAGGGAGCUUGCUCCUGGAUUCAGCGGCGGACGGGUGAGUAAUGCCUAGGAAUCUGCCUGGUAGUGGGGGAUAACGUCCGGAAACGGGCGCUAAUACCGCAUACGUCCUGAGGGAGAAAGUGGGGGAUCUUCGGACCUCACGCUAUCAGAUGAGCCUAGGUCGGAUUAGCUAGUUGGUGGGGUAAAGGCCUACCAAGGCGACGAUCCGUAACUGGUCUGAGAGGAUGAUCAGUCACACUGGAACUGAGACACGGUCCAGACUCCUACGGGAGGCAGCAGUGGGGAAUAUUGGACAAUGGGCGAAAGCCUGAUCCAGCCAUGCCGCGUGUGUGAAGAAGGUCUUCGGGUUGUAAAGCACUUUUAGUUGGGAGGAAAGGCAGUAAGUUAAUACCUUGCUGUUUUGACGGUACCAGCAGAAUAAGCACCGGCUAACUUCGUG